GACUACCUGGUCUCGCGAAUGCCUUAGAUUUAAGUUUGAUCAUGGCUCAGAGCGAACGCUGUUCGGUAGGCCUAACACAUGCAAGUCGAACGGCAGCACAGGAGAGCUUGCUCUCUGGGUGGCGAGUGGCGGACGGGUGAGGAAUACAUCGGAAUCUACUCUGUCGUGGGGGAUAACGUAGGGAAACUUACGCUAAUACCGCAUACGACCUACGGGUGAAAGCAGGGGAUCUUCGGACCUUGCGCGAUUGAAUGAGCCGAUGUCGGAUUAGCUAGUUGGCGGGGUAAAGGCCCACCAAGGCGACGAUCCGUAGCUGGUCUGAGAGGAUGAUCAGCCACACUGGAACUGAGACACGGUCCAGACUCCUACGGGAGGCAGCAGUAGGGGAAUAUUGGACAACUNGGGCGCAGGCCUGAUCCAGCCAUCCGCUGG
rnacentral:rRNA from 1 species